GGCGGUGUCACUGCCAAGGUGGCCCGGGCUUCUUCCUCACAGGUGCUUAAGGGGAGCUCGCCGCGCUGAGUAGCUGCCGACGUCGCCGAGGACGGUCUGGCUUUCCGUGCCUCCCGCGGCAGAGCACUUAUAUUGAAGCUAGAGACAAGAUAUUUGUGUAAUUUCUGUGCUGAGAUUAAAACAUAUGGCAAUGAAGAAAGAGACAGAAUCUGGGGUUUUCAUCUGAAGAAAAUGACAGACAGCAACCAAACCUGUGCUGCAGGCCAGGCCUCCGUGCCCUACAUGACUUGUUUGAUUCACGUGCUUGAGCAGUGGCUGGGUGUGGAGCAGUUGGAGGACUAUUUGAAUUUUGCAAGCCAUCUCUUGUGGGUUUUUACCCCACUGAUACUUUUAAUACUCCCUUACUUUACCAUCUUUCUUCUCUACCUUACUGUGGUUUUCCUGCACAUAUAUAAGAGGAAGAAUGUGUUAAAGGAAGCCUACUCUCAUAAUUUAUGGGAUGGCGCAAGGAAAACAGUGGCCACUCUGUGGGAUGGACAUGCAGCGGUUUGGCAUGGUUACGAAGUUCAUGGGAUGGAAAAGAUACCGGAAGGACCAGCGCUUAUCAUUUUUUAUCAUGGAGCGAUUCCCAUAGACUUUUACUACUUCAUGGCUAAGAUUUUCAUCCACAAGGGCAGAACGUGCCGAGUAGUAGCUGACCACUUUGUCUUUAAAAUCCCAGGGUUCAGUUUAUUACUAGACGUAUUUUGUGCUCUUCAUGGGCCAAGAGAAAAAUGUGUUGAAAUCCUGAGGAGUGGCCACUUGCUGGCUAUUUCACCAGGAGGAGUCCGAGAAGCCUUGCUCAGUGAUGAGACCUACAGCAUCAUCUGGGGUAGCCGGAAAGGCUUUGCGCAGGUCGCCAUUGAUGCGCAAGUGCCCAUUAUUCCUAUGUUUACACAAAAUAUUCGAGAAGGAUUUAGAUCACUUGGAGGAACAAGAUUAUUUAAGUGGCUUUAUGAAAAAUUCCGCUUUCCAUUUGCUCCAAUGUAUGGAGGUUUUCCUGUAAAGUUGCGGACCUUCUUAGGUGAUCCCAUUCCAUAUGACCCAAAGAUAACAGCCGAAGAAUUAGCUGAAAAGUAAGAAUGAGAAAAGGCCAGAAGUGAUGCUAAAGACGUAGAAUUCUGUCAGGUGCUAUGUGUGACUGGAAGCCUUGAGGAACAAGCAGAGAGACCAAGACCGCCCUUCAGGCUUUGAUUGAUAAGCACCAAAGGAUACCGGGCAACAUCAGGAGUGCUCUGCUGGACCGCUUUCAUAGCGAGCGGAAGGCCGAUUGAGAGUCUCUAGUGAGGAGCUCACAGCUGCAGUGCUGUCUUAAAUUUUGUAGGUUGUAUAAUAGUGUUUUUAAAGCAUCAUGUUAAUAAGUAUUUUUCUUAGACCUUGUUUAUUUAAUUUAUAUUGUUAACCUUGUCCUUUCAAUCAGUGGUGUCAAAUUUAUAAGUAACUCAUUACUUGCCUGACUCAGAAAGUGAUCAUGUUGCAUUUGCAAUCGUUAGUAGUAUAGGACAAGCAUAGAGUCUUAGUGGUAAGUCUUUCUUGAUAUCAGCAGGUUAAGCAGACUUUUCUAAAUUAUGUCUGCCGUGCCGAUCUGAACAUUAGGGGUGCAUGCAUUAGGUGCAGCACUGAAUUUAGGUGAGAGGUGCCUGUGUCUGUCUGUCUUCAUUCCAUUCACAGCUGCGGGUAAGUUGUGGAAUGCUUUUGUACCUCAGCGAUGUAAGCAUGAUAAUAUUGUGGUGAUGAACAUGACUUUGAGUUGCUUAUGUCCACUGUGCUAUCUGUAGUGUGAGAGAUAUAACUGAACUGAUUCCUGAACCCUGAAGGAGUUAGGUACAUUUGUUUUUGUCCAUUGAGUGUAACAAUUCCUUCAGGUGUGAUGUCCAGUUGCCAAGCACAUUGAAAGAGCUGUACUGUUUUAUAAAUCAAGACAUUGUUAUUUCUUUAGUAUUUAUUUUAAACAAGUAUCUAAGUAAACAUAUAGACUAAGUUGUCAGCAUGGUGUUUUAUGGGGUAAGGAUAGAAUCACGGUCACAUUCCGCAGUUCACGUUAGAAGCUGAUUCUAGGCUGAGGAAUAAGGAACAAGAAAGCACUGAUUUUGCUUAAUAUCCUGGUUUGUUUUGCUGUGCUCUGCAACCAGUCAUGUGGCUUACUAUUUCAGUAAAAUGUACUUGAAUGAUGAAUUUCUGUAAACACGGAGCUCUCUGAAAAUGUAAUGGCAUUUGAUUUGUUGUCUCCCUAAAAACUGAUUUUAAAAGUAUUUAAACAGCAAAGUAUCAUAAAUCCUCUGCAGUAUGUCUCUUUCCAUCUUUGUAGUACUUGGGUUUUAUAUGAACUUUUUAAUCACAAGUGUAUAUUUAUGAUAUAUAUAUAUAAAUAUAUAAAAUGUAUAUAGAAAUGAUGUAAAAAAUAAAGGUGAAU